rnacentral:rRNA from 1 species
UACGUAGGGACCGAGCGUUGUCCGGAUUCAUUGGGCGUAAAGAGCUCGUAGGCGGUGUGUCACGUCGGCCGUGAAAACCUGGGGCUUAACUCUGGGCGUGCGGUCGAUACGGGCAUCACUAGAGUUCGGCAGGGGAGACUGGAAUUCCUGGUGUAGCGGUGAAAUGCGCAGAUAUCGAGAGGAACAUCUGCGGCGAAGGCGGGUUGCUGGGCUGACACUGACGCUGAAGCGCGAAAGCUAGGGGAGCGAACAGG